CUUAACUCCAGUGCUGCGGGAAGUGCACUCAUGCUCCGUUCCACGACUUUCACACGUUAUUUUCGGACAAAUGUACGUAAAAACGAUCUCUACUGCAAGAUCAACAUAUGAUACGAAUUGACCUUUAACGACUGACAAAUAGACACUUUAAAACAAAAUAACGCGUCAGACAUAAUAUUCUAAUAAAAUUAGUAACAUUGCGUGCUAGAAUAUAGGAAUAGAAAUUCGAAAAGUACCCAAAACUGAAUCCCCACUGUCCACGUGGUCUUGGUCUGCCCUACCCCUAGUGUUUUUUUUUUUUUUAAGUCGGAGGCGCAGAGGAGGGCAGACCUUGCCCGCCGUGCGAAAGCGCGCGAAUGACUGCGUAGAGGAGCGGAUGAGGCUGGUCUCCGCUGCGGAACGGAGCAUGAGUGAGCGUGUUUUCGCACGCAAGAACGGAAGGGCUACACUUCCCGCAGCGCCGGAGCCAAGCGUUAUUCAAACUUCAAAGGUGGUAUUAAUUACGAGUUUAUAAAUUCGUCACGAGGUGGUCAGCUCCUAAUGAUACAAGGGUAUACCUUCGCAAGGAUAAACAAGUUGUGCUACAUAUGGAUGUGCUCCGGCAAGUCAUCGCAGUGCAAGGCUAAAGUACGGAUGAACGCGUUGAAUGAGG
rnacentral:misc_RNA from 1 species